GUAAAUGUCUUUCCCAUAACCGUGUAUAAAUUUUCCAGGAGAAAGUAGAUGAUUCAGCAUACAAGAUCUUAACAGAUUACCAAACUGCAACGGUGACACUUUUAGCACUAAUAUCGGCUGCUACUGGCAAUGAAGAAGAUGACUGUUCAUCUGAUAGAAUUUUGACUAAAAGGGAACUCCUGGAGAACCAAAUGCCAGCAUUGAAAGGCCUGGUUUUGAGCUCCUAACAAUCCUGACUCGUCAUGAAGUCAAUUUUCUAAAGGCCAACAUGAAGUCUCUCUCUCUCUCUCUCUCUCUCUCUCUCUCUCUCUCUCUCUCUCUCUCUCUCUCUCUCUAUAUAUAUAUAUAUAUAUAUAUCUGAAGCAUUUAUAGGGAUUUCUGCGAAACUAUAAAUUAUAAUUUGGAUUUAGUUUCA